rnacentral:rRNA from 1 species
UAACGAAUCUUCCGCAAUGCACGAAAGUGUGACGGAGCGACGCCGCGUGUGGGAUGAAGUUCUUCGGAAUGUAAACCACUGUCAGGGGUUAGAAAGUUCUGAUCAACCCCAGAGGAAGGCACGGCUAACUCUGUGCCAGCAGCCGCGGUAAGACAGAGGUGCCAAGCGUUAGGCGGAAUCACUGGGCUUAAAGCGUGUGUAGGUGGACUGGUAAGUACCUUGUGAAAUCCCGCGGCUUAACCGUGGAACUGCUGGGUAUACUGCUGGUCUUGAGCCUUCUAGGGGUCAGUGGAACAAAUGGUGGAGCGGUGAAAUGCGUAGAUAUCAUUUGGAACGCCAAUGGUGAAAACAACUGACUGGGGAAGUGCUGACACUGAGACACGAAAGCCAGGGGAGCAAACGGGAUUAGAUACCCCCGUAGUCC